UCCCUGGUGGCUCAAACGGUAAGGCAUCUGCCUACAAUGCAGGAGACCCAGGUUUGAUCCCUGGGUUGGGAA
rnacentral:tRNA from 1 species